UGUAUUGUGGUUCGUGGUGUUGCAAUGUAUUGUGGUGUGGUGUGUUGUAGGGCUGACCCCUUUGUGUCAACUGGUCGAUUGUUUGGUCGAUACGCUUUUGAUCGGCCAAGAUUUCUUUAGUCGAACAGUAGCAGACACCUUUCUGAUUGGCUCCUGUCUGAGUGGACUAAUCCACUGUGGAGGCCGUGGCACAGUCUAUCAGUCUAAAACAUGUGCUACUGAAAUUGUAUAUGUUUAUAUUAUGUAAGAAGGGUGCAACACUAAUAAAAAUACAAAAUAAAUUAUAACAAAUGCGCUUUCUCCAACGUUUGAUAGCGGUCGCUGUCCGCGGUUCUGAAAUAUCAGUGCGCUGUUGAAUUGGGGCCAUUUCCUAGACCAUGUAAUAGCAUCCGCUAUGUAAUAGCAAAGUAAACCAGCUUAUUGGUGUUGAGAACAAUCUGGCGGAGGCAGCAGAGACGAGAAAACAGUCAUUGCCUUAAUUGUCUAAGAAUUAGGCUUAGUAUAGAAACCUUGUAUAACCACCAUCGAGCUGUAGACCUCAGAGAGCAUCCUGUUUAGUCUUAACACCAUCAUUUACUUAGGCCUAUAUUUCAAUACUUAUAUAGGCUACAGUACUGUAUCAAUUAGUCAUUCAUUUGUUCAUGUCAUCCCACAGCAUACGAGUCAUUCAUGAUUUGAAGUGCAGUCAAGCAUUUUAGUUCAAAUAAAAUAACACAGCGAACCUUAAAUAAAUGGCGUGAACAAUAAAUAAACCGCUCCGCUUCGGCAUUCGCGAAUACAUGCGACUGUUUUACUAUUUGCUGUAAUAAAGGCUUUACAAAAAGAAAAGAAAAAGUUACAACAGACUCUGUCACGCUGUGUAAUGAUAGGAGACAGGCGCAGGAAUACGAAAUCGGGUUUUUAUUUCAAAUCAAAUCAAAUUGAUUUCUCCACCCAAAAUAAAGUACCAUGAAAACGAUGGGGACGAAGCCCAAAACAGACAUAUAUAUAUAUAUAUAUAAAUAAUACACAGGAUGAGAGCCGUAAUAACAAUAUCACGUAGUACAAAAGCCGAUACAAUAGAGCACAGGUACUCACAGGACCAACGGACAUGAGGACAAUAACCGACAAGACAAUGGGGAACAGAGGGCACAUAUAUAACAUACUAAUCAGGGGGAAUGGGAACCAGGUGUGCAUAAUGAGACAAGACAAUGGGGAACAGAGGGCACAUAUAUAACAUACUAAUCAGGGGGAAUGGGAACCAGGUGUGCGUAAUGAGACAAGACAAUGGGGAACAGAGGGCACAUAUAUAACAUACUAAUCAGGGGGAAUGGGAACCAGGUGUGCGUAAUGAGACAAGACAAUGGGGAACAGAGGGCACAUAUAUAACAUACUAAUCAGGGGGAAUGGGAACCAGGUGUGCGUAAUGAGACAAGACAAUGGGGAACAGAGGGCACAUAUAUAACAUACUAAUCAGGGGGAAUGGGAACCAGGUGUGCGUAAUGAGACAAGACAAUGGGGAACAGAGGGCACAUAUAUAACAUACUAAUCAGGGGGAAUGGAAACCAGGUGUGCGUAAUGAGACAAGACAAUGGGGAACAGAGGGCACAUAUAUAACAUACUAAUCAGGGGGAAUGGAAACCAGGUGUGCGUAAUGAGACAAGACAAUGGGGAACAGAGGGCACAUAUAUAACAUACUAAUCAGGGGGAAUGGAAACCAGGUGUGCAUAAUGAGACAAGACAAUGGGGAACAGAGGGCACAUAUAUAACAUACUAAUCAGGGGGAAUGGGAACCAGGUGUGCAUAAUGAGACAAGACAAUCCAGGGUUGGUGGGGAUGAUCCAGUUCAGUGACGCCUAGAAGGCCGGUGACAUAGACCUCCGGAGCUGGUGAAUGGAAUGAGCAGCAGAACCGGGGGGGGGUCUGAAACUGGUGAAUGGAAUGAGCAGCAGAACCGGGGGGGAUCUGAAACUGGUGAAUGGAAUGA